CCUACGGGUGGCAGCAGUGAGGAAUAUUGGUCAAUGGACGCGAGUCUGAACCAGCCAAGCAGCGUGAAGGAUGACUGCCCUCUGGGUUGUAAACUUCUUUUAUAUGGGAAUAAAAUGUUCCACGUGUGGGCUUUUGUAUGUACCAUAUGAAUAAGGAUCGGCUAACUCCGUGCCAGCAGCCGCGGUAAUACGGAGGAUCCGAGCGUUAUCCGGAUUUAUUGGGUUUAAAGGGAGCGCAGGUGGUUUGUUAAGUCAGUUGUGAAAGUUUGCGGCUCAACCGGAAAAUUGCAGUUGAUACUGGCAGUCUUGAGUACAGUAGAGGUGUGCGGAAUUCGAGGUGUAGCGGUGAAAUGCUUAGAUAUCUCGAAGAACUCCGAUUGCGAAGGCAGCUCACUGGACUGCAACUGACACUGAGGUUCGAAAGUGUGGGUAUCAAACAGGAUUAGAUACCCUGGUAGUC
rnacentral:rRNA from 1 species